rnacentral:rRNA from 1 species
GACGAACGCUGGCGGCGUGCUUAACACAUGCAAGUCGAGCGAUGAAGUUCCUUCGGGAAUGAAUUAGCGGCGGACGGGUGAGUAACACGUGGGUAACCUGCCUCAUAGAGGGGAAUAGCCUUCCGAAAGGAAGAUUAAUACCGCAUAAGAUUGUAGUGCCGCAUGGCCUAGCAAUUAAAGGAGCAAUCCGCUAUGAGAUGGACCGGCGCGGCAUUAGCUAGUGGGUGAGGUAACGGCUCACCAAGGCGACGAUGCGUAGCCGACCUGAGAGGGUGAUCGGCCACAUUGGGACUGAGACACGGCCCAGACUCCUACGGGAGGCAGCAGUGGGGAAUAUUGCACAAUGGGGGAAACCCUGAUGCAGCAACGCCGCGUGAGUGAUGAAGGUCUUCGGACUGUAAAACUCUGUCUUCAGGGACGAUAAUGACGGUACCUGAGGAGGAAGCCACGGCUAACUACGUGCCAGCCGCCGCAGUAAGAC